UGGGGAAUAUUGGGCAAUGGGCGCAAGCCUGACCCAGCAACGCCGCGUGAAGGAAGAAGGCUUUCGGGUUGUAAACUUCUUUUGUGAGGGACGAAACAAAUGACGGUACCUCACGAAUAAGCCACGGCUAACUACGUGCCAGCAGCCGCGGUAAUACGUAGGUGGCGAGCGUUAUCCGGAUUUACUGGGUGUAAAGGGCGUGUAGGCGGGACUGCAAGUCAGAUGUGAAAACCAUGGGCUCAACCCAUGGCCUGCAUUUGAAACUGUAGUUCUUGAGUGAUGGAGAGGCAGGCGGAAUUCCGUGUGUAGCGGUGAAAUGCGUAGAUAUUAGGAGGAACACCAGUGGCGAAGGCGGCUUACUGGACGGUAACUGACGUUGAGGCUCGAAAGCGUGGGGAGCAAACAGGAUUAGAUACCC
rnacentral:rRNA from 1 species